UUUGGAAGUUUCUAUUGACACAUCCUCAAGCCAGAGAUUCUUUCCCCAGCUGUGUGCAGUCUACCAGAGGCCAGAAGAUCUUGCCUGGCAAUUAUGAAUGGAUGGAGGAACUGCCUAUCCCUGUCCCAUUGUCUUGUCCACAGGUCAGCCUCACAAAGGGAAAGAGCCCUGGAUGGGAAUACAGUGGAAGCUCAUUCUCUUAGUGACCUGGGAACAUUGGCUCGAGAUGAAGCCUGGCAGGAGUGGCAACUCCAGGUGAUUUCUGCACCUUUCCUAUUUCCUGGGAGGUGGGCCAGGCCACAGUGUUAGCGGGAAGGGAACAGAACAGCCAGCCUAGUUAGAGGGAGUGUCUGGGGAAGGCCUAGGGGUGGGGGAAGAAGCUGUGCAGGACAGGGCUUGCCAGUCAGAAUGAAGUGGGAGGAAGAUGAGGGACACAGAGAAGCAGAGGCAGAGACACCAUGGCAGUGAGCAGUGAGGGAGACACUGACUUCAGAGACCCCAGGGACCAGCUGCCCCCAGUUCCACAGUCCAGGACAAAGGAGCCCUGAGAAUCCUCUGGUGGCCAAAGAGC
rnacentral:lncRNA from 10 species